CUGCGAAUGGCUCAUUAAAUCAGUUAUCGUUUAUUUGAUAGUACCUUACUACUUGGAUAACCGUGGUAAUUCUAGAGCUAAUACAUGCUAAAAACCCCGACUUCGGGAGGGGUGUAUUUAUUAGAUAAAAAACCAAUGCCCUUCGGGGCUCUUUGGUGAUUCAUGAUAACUUAACGGAUCGCAUGGCCUUGCGCCGGCGACGGUUCAUUCAAAUUUCUGCCCUAUCAACUUUCGAUGGUAAGGUAUUGGCUUACCAUGGUUUCAACGGGUAACGGGGAAUUAGGGUUCGAUUCCGGAGAGGGAGCCUGAGAAACGGCUACCACAUCCAAGGAAGGCAGCAGGCGCGCAAAUUACCCAAUCCCGACUCGGGGAGGUAGUGACAAUAAAUACUGAUACAGGGCUCUUUUGGGUCUUGUAAUCGGAAUGAGUACAAUUUAAACCCCUUAACGAGGAACAAUUGGAGGGCAAGUCUGGUGCCAGCAGCCGCGGUAAUUCCAGCUCCAAUAGCGUAUAUUAAAGUUGUUGCAGUUAAAAAGCUCGUAGUUGAACCUUGGGCCUGGCUGGCCGGUCCGCCUCACCGCGUGUACUGGUCCGGCCGGGCCUUUCCUUCUGGAGAGCCGCAUGCCCUUCACUGGGUGUGUCGGGGAACCAGGACUUUUACUUUGAAAAAAUUAGAGUGUUCAAAGCAGGCCUUUGCUCGAAUACGUUAGCAUGGAAUAAUAGAAUAGGACGUGCGGUCCUAUUUUGUUGGUUUCUAGGACCGCCGUAAUGAUUAAUAGGGAUAGUCGGGGGCAUCAGUAUUCAAUUGUCAGAGGUGAAAUUCUUGGAUUUAUUGAAGACUAACUACUGCGAAAGCAUUUGCCAAGGAUGUUUUCAUUAAUCAGUGAACGAAAGUUAGGGGAUCGAAGACGAUCAGAUACCGUCGUAGUCUUAACCGUAAACUAUGCCGACUAGGGAUCGGGCGAUGUUUCUAUCUUGACUCGCUCGGCACCUUACGAGAAAUCAUAAG
rnacentral:rRNA from 1 species